rnacentral:lncRNA from 14 species
UUCUCUUUCUUAUCUUCUGCUGUCACAAAUAUGUCUUCUUUCCUGUGUAAGUGGGUUACCCACCUGCAGGUAGAAGUGAGUGCUUUUUCAAAACAGCUGCAUACAACAGCUCCCACAGAUUUUAUGUGGGUUACUUGGAUAUUGAUCUUUUAAGGGUGAAUUCCUUGCUGUCUUGAAAGGAGUAGCUAAACUCCUCCAUGAUUUCACUGGAGAAGAGACAAUAUCUUAUAUUCAGUUUUCCAGAACUUUUUCUUUCCAUUGGUUUAUUGCAAAGGCAAUAAGAGAGCAAAUUCAGGUCAGCUGAAGUGACCUGACCAUCCCACAGGAAAACGGGUGCCACUCCAAACAGUGGACCAGCAUGGCCUCUUGUAGGGCAUUGCUCUUCUCAGGGUGAGGUGCUCCAGUGCAGGACAGCACGCUUAUGUAAUGUAGCUCUGGCCCAACCUGAGGAACUCAAGUUCUCCCAGCUGCCAGCCGAGCACCCAUUGCACUGAACUUAUGCAAGCUGGAAAAAGCACACAACUCUUGAACAUUCUCUUCCUAUCAGUGGAAUACCAAAUCCUGCCCUGUUUUCUCUUACAGAUUCAUACACUGCAGACAAGUGUAUUACAGUAUUUUUUGUAGGACUAAGUCUGCUUCAGCACGUUACUUUUGGCCAGUGAGAAUCCAUGAAUGAGAAUGAGAGGGAACCAUGGCAAUCAUAUGUAAGAUAGCAUUUUCAAAACUAUCUGAAUAAUUUUCAGGGACACUUGGGUGCUACAGCUGAACUACUGUUUUUCAGCAGCAUUUCACCUGUGAUUUUAUAUAAUAUGACAUCAAGAAUUGGUGGUAAGCAGCUUUUCUCUUCAAAUUACAAUGGGCAUUUGUUAUCUAGAGACUUCACAGAAAAUACCAUUAAAAGGUUUUUUGCAAGAAAGAAGUAUAAUUAUGGACAAAUUCCUGUUCCAAUUGCUUACAAAAGUUGUCAUAUUAUGUCUGUGGCUCAGGAGAAGUACUAUCCUUGCACUGAAUCUCUGAGCCAUUCAACCACUUAAAUACUUUUGUAAUUUUAAAUGUUUACUUAUUCUUAUCAGGUAAAAUAGUCAAAGCAAUGCUGAAUUCUCAUUCUCUUUGGAAGUCAGUUCAUCAGCACCUGUAUGGAUGGUUUGCAGGCUUUGUGCAGUGUUGGGUGGUAGCACAGAGGGGCGAUGCUCUGUAGCAUAGGCUACUUACAUUAGAGCAGGUGCUUUCCAGAACAUAAACACUGACAAAACACUUCAUCUGAAGCAGUAGCGGAAGCUGAAGUUUCUGCUAAAAGCAUUCAUUCCCUGGCCUGCCCAUUACUGUUCUGGGAGGAUGGAUGGUGAGCAUCUGGAGAUACUAAUGUGUCCAUUGUGUGUUCAAACAAUGCACAUCUGUAGCCUCCAAGAAAAGUCAGAGCAAAGCAUACACAGUUUGUGUCUGGCCUCUGUUCCCAGGGUUGAGAAUUUCUUUGAGGCUGUUUGAUAUAUGGUUAUGUCAGAUGCUGUACAAAAGCACAUUUUCUACAAAAUAAAAAGUUACAAUAAUGAUUUCUUCCCUCUCUU